CCUCCACUAUUCAUUUCUCCCUUGCUUGACUCUUCAUUUCUCCGUCCACUAUUUCCCUCCACUCUUUUUUUCCUCUUCCUUUUGGGUCUGGAGCUUGAUCUCCACUCCAUUCGCUGGAGUGACUGAAAAGCAUUUUGCAUCGCUGCCGUCGGGACCUCUCUUCCUUUCAUAUGCGGCAUCGGCAUCGUCAUCAUCCUCCACAAAACUAUGGAUGGCGUUGACAAAGUCGGUACCUUCAUCACCGCCACUGCCACGAGAGCAAAAAAUGCACCGAAGAGAUUAAAUUCGAUGAUCGAACAAUUGGUGCGAUUCCUUCUCCAACUCCGCACGGGCAUCUCCCUGACGACGACAAUGUGGAGGAGGGAGAGAUCCUUGAAGAUGAGGUUCUCGACGGCGAGGUUGGGAAACAAGAGACGGAAUCUGAUGCUGAACCCGGUGAAAUCAAGGUGACAAGAGAUCGAGAUGUUUGAUAUGAUAAUCAAAAUUUGUGUAUCUCAGUUACUCUUGGUGGCCAAACAGAGCACUGUGAUUCUUUGUUUUCGGACGAGUUUUUUUUUUAUUCUUGAGAGCUUUGGUAUAGUACCCUGUCAGUGUCUCAUAGAUAUGUAAGAACCUGGUUGCACUACACGAACAUGAGUGAAUUGCAAAAGAAGUCUCUCUAGGUGUUUCAGUGAAGACUGGUGGCUUACAGUUAAUUUGGACACCUUACUAAAAUUUCAGUAACUAGAAAUGAGGACAUUAGGGAUGAUAAAUUUAUUAGUCCUGCAAUCAAUGCACAAGAUGAUGUCUCUCGUAAUUGUUCAAGUUUUGAGACUCGGGAUGGAAAGCAUGCUCAAGCUUGUACAGAUGGCGUGGGCAAUGGUUUUUUGGAUCCUAAAUCUUCCAAAGGGGAUAAGUGGCACAAUGGGGAACUUGGACAUUUUAAAAGUAAUGAGAAACUAAAAGGAGACUUUGAUGAUGAAACACUGGAGGCUAAUGUGAGGAAAGCACAUUACAAUAGGAAUUCAUCCUCUGAAAGUGGAGGCUAAUGUGAGGAAAGCACAUCACAAUCGAGAGGCCAAGGAUAGAGAUAGGAGUAGGGAUAGAGAUGUGGAUAGAGACUUGCACAAAUAAAAGAAACAAGAGGAUAGGCAUCUGCGUUAUGAGGAUGGUAAUGACAACGGAGAUAGAUAUAGAAAACAUUCAAGGCAUGAAGAAAAUGAAUACCAUUGGGAAAGAAAAAGAAAUUCUGAUAAUCAUGUAAAGGUUUAUAAUUCAAUGGGAAGCACUGCAUAAGUGGAUGAAAGCAAACUAACAAGGUUUAUAACAUUCAAGGCAUGAAGAAAAUGAAUACCAUUGGGAAAGAAAAUGAAAUUCUGAUAAUCCUGUAAAGGUUUAUAAUUCAAUGGGAAGCACUGCAGAAGUGGAUGAAAGCAAACUAACAAGUAAGGUUGAACCAGAUGACUUAGAGGAGGAUACAUUGCAAUUGCCUGAGCAAGAAGAGGAAGAUCUCAACAGGAUCAAAGAAGAGAGUAGAAGAAGAAGGGAAACAAUAAUGGAGAAAUACAAGAAGCAGCAUCAACAAGUAGAAGCAGUGGUUAGAAACGAAGGAAAAGGUCAGGGGGUGCUUUGAAUGAACAUGCUAUUGACAAUCCAGAGGAGAUUGCUUCCAUGGUUGAUGAUGUCCAGAUAGAACUAGGGACUCCAAUUCCACCAAUCUUGCUAAUCUACUACCGGUUUGAAGUUUCUGCUGCAAGAGGAAUUAAACUUGGACUAACAUUUUUCUUCUCACGGUCCAAAUGUAGCAACACAACUUUGCCUCUUCCAAGGACAUUAUACAAUCAUGGUUCCUUAAGACUCGCCUUCCUCUUUUAGAAGAGAAUGCCCUUAAUACAGACUUGCAACUACAAUCUACAAGGAAGUUUUUUUCUAACUCAACUUUAUAGUUAAACAAUGUUUUUCACAAUUUAUGAAUAAAUUUUAACUUAAAUAAGAUAUGCUUAAUUGUUCAUUGCCUAUAGGUAAAAAAAGACUUCAAGGAGUUGGUUAUGAAUAUCACAAUCUUUUUCCAAUAUUAAGAUAAUUGACCAACGUGACAGAGGUCUUGGAGAUGUUUGAUCAUUUGGUUAGCCAAUGACAGAAGCAUAAAGAGGGAGAGUAGUCGUGAGAAUAAUUUGAUGGAACACCUGUUUCAAGCAUGUGAUACUUCAUGAGUGGUUGAUGUUCAACUGUUGGUUUGGCCUAUUGGUCUUCCACUACCCUAUGUCAAAGGUGAAUUUAUGAUUAUUUUGUAACUUUAGGAAUAUAUGCUAUGCCAAAGGUGAAUUUAUGGUUAUUUUGUAACUUUGUCUAUAAUUUAAUUUGGACUCAAGCAUGCACUAUAAUUGAUUAGUGUGUAACGGAAGUGUGUAGCAGUCACUUUGUUUACAAUUAGUUUUAAUGCUAUCAUAACAUUAGACCAUGUUUGAUCAUGUUGUAUGCAACUUAGUAUCCA